rnacentral:rRNA from 1 species
UUUUUAUGAAUAUUUAAUAUAAAAUUUGCCCUGCCCAAUGAUAAAUAUUUAAUGGCCGCAGUAAAUUGACUGUGCAAAGGUAGCAUAAUAAUUUGUCUUUUAAUUGAAGACUGGAAUGAAUGGGUGGACGUAAGAAAGACUGUCUUUAUUAUUAUAAUUGAAUUUUACUUUUAUGUUAAAAGGCUUUUGUGUUAAUUAGAUUUUAUUAAGGGACGAAAAGACCCUGUCAAGUUUUAUAAUAUUUUUUUAUUAUCAUUAAUUUAAAAAAUAUAUUAUUUAUCUGGGGUGGAUUUAAUAUUAAUCUAUUAAAUAAUUUAUAAUUAAAGAAUUUAUUAUUGAUCUUUUUUAUUACUUACUAAUUAAAUUACUGCAGGGGUAACAGCAUAAUUAUUUUGGUAAGUUCAAAUUUAUAAAAUAGAUUAUGACCUCGAUGUUGGAUUAAUUUUACCUAAUAUAAUGAAAAAGUUUUAAAGGUUAGUCUGUUCGACUAUUAAAAAGUUACA